rnacentral:rRNA from 1 species
ACACGUAAGAAUUUGCCUUUAGGAGGGGGAUAACAACUGGAAACGGUUGCUAAUACCCCAUAUGCUUUCGAGUGAAAUGGAAUUUUCCGCCUAGAGAGAAGCUUGCGGCUGAUUAGCUUGUUGGUAAGGUAAUGGCUUACCAAGGCGACGAUCAGUAUCUGGUUCGAGAGGACGAUCAGACACACUGGAACUGAGACACGGUCCAGACUCCUACGGGAGGCAGCAGUGGGGAAUUUUCCGCAAUGGGCGAAAGCCUGACGGAGCAAUACUGCGUGAGGGAUGACGGCCUAUGGGUUGUAAACCUCUUUUUUCAGGGAGGAAUAAAAUGACGUGUACCUGAAGAAUAAGCAUCGGCUAACUCCGUGCCAGCAGCCGCGGUAAGACGGAGGAUGCAAGUGUUAUCCGGAAUCACUGGGCGUAAAGCGUCUGUAGGUGGUUUAAUAAGUCAACUGUUAAAUCCUUGAAGCUCAACUUCAAAAUCGCAGUCGAAACUAUUAGACUAGAGUAUAGUAGGGGUAAAGGGAAUUUCCAGUGGAGCGGUGAAAUGCGUAGAGAUGGGAAAGAACACCGAUG